rnacentral:rRNA from 1 species
CCUACGGGUGGCAACAGUGGGGAAUAUUGCGCAAUGGGCGCAAGCCUGACGCAGCGACGCCGCGUGAGGGAUGAAGGUUUUCGGAUCGUAAACCUCUGUUAGUAGGGAAGAAGUUGCAUGGGGCCAAUCACCUGUGCAUUGACGGUACCUUCAAAGGAAGCACCGGCUAACUCCGUGCCAGCAGCCGCGGUAAUACGGAGGGUGCGAGCGUUUAUCGGAAUUACUGGGCGUAAAGCGCACGUAGGCUGUAUGUCACGUCAAGGGUGAAAUCCCACGGCUCAACCGUGGAACUGCCUUUGAAACUGGCAAACUGGAGGGUGGGAGAGGAGAGUGGAAUUCCAGGUGUAGGAGUGAAAUCCGUAGAUAUCUGGAGGAACAGCAGUGGCGAAGGCGACUAUCUGGCACGUAACUGACGCUGAGGAGCGAAAGCGUGGGUAGCAAACAGGAUUAGAUACCCCAGUAGUC